UGAGUAACCUGCCCUUGACUCUGGGAUAAGCCUGGGAAACCGGGUCUAAUACUGGAUGUGACUUCUCAUCGCAUGGUGGGGGGUGGAAAGGGUUUCUGGUCUUGGAUGGGCUCACGGCCUAUCAGCUGGUUGGUGGGGUAAUGGCUCACCAAGGCGACGACGGGUAGCCGGCCUGAGAGGGUGACCGGCCACACUGGGACUGAGACACGGCCCAGACUCCUACGGGAGGCAG
rnacentral:rRNA from 1 species